ACGGGAGGCAGCAGUGGGGAAUAUUGCACAAUGGGGGAAACCCUGAUGCAGCGACGCCGCGUGGGUGAUGAAGUAUUUCGGUACGUAAAACCCUAUCAGCAGGGAAGAUAAUGACGGUACCUGACUAAGAAGCUCCGGCUAAAUACGUGCCAGCAGCCGCGGUAAUACGUAUGGAGCAAGCGUUAUCCGGAUUUACUGGGUGUAAAGGGAGCGCAGGCGGUUUUGUAAGUUGGAUGUGAAAGCCCGGGGCUCAACCUCGGGACUGCAUCCAAAACUACAUAACUAGAGUGUCGGAGGGGCAAGCGGAAUUCCUAGUGUAGCGGUGAAAUGCGUAGAUAUUAGGAGGAACACCGGUGGCGAAGGCGGCUUGCUGGACGAUAACUGACGCUGAGGCUCGAAAGCGUGGGGAGCAAACAGGAUUAGAUACCCUGGUA
rnacentral:rRNA from 2 species